rnacentral:rRNA from 1 species
CAUGCAGUCGAGCGGUAGCACAGAGAGCUUGCUCUCGGGUGACGAGCGGCGGACGGGUGAGUAAUGUCUGGGAAACUGCCUGAUGGAGGGGGAUAACUACUGGAAACGGUAGCUAAUACCGCAUAACGUCGCAAGACCAAAGUGGGGGACCUUCGGGCCUCAUGCCAUCAGAUGUGCCCAGAUGGGAUUAGCUGGUAGGUGGGGUAACGGCUCACCUAGGCGACGAUCCCUAGCUGGUCUGAGAGGAUGACCAGCCACACUGGAACUGAGACACGGUCCAGACUCCUACGGGAGGCAGCAGUGGGGAAUAUUGCACAAUGGGCGCAAGCCUGAUGCAGCCAUGCCGCGUGUGUGAAGAAGGCCUUCGGGUUGUAAAGCACUUUCAGCGGGGAGGAAGGCGGUGAGGUUAAUAACCUCAUCGAUUGACGUUACCCGCAGAAGAAGCACCGGCUAACUCCGUGCCAGCAGCCGCGGUAAUACGGAGGGUGCAAGCGUUAAUCGGAAUUACUGGGCGUAAAGCGCACGCAGGCGGUCUGUCAAGUCGGAUGUGAAAUCCCCGGGCUCAACCUGGGAACUGCAUUCGAAACUGGCAGGCUAGAGUCUUGUAGAGGGGGGUAGAAUUCCAGGUGUAGCGGUGAAAUGCGUAGAGAUCUGGAGGAAUACCGGUGGCGAAGGCGGCCCCCUGGACAAAGACUGACGCUCAGGUGCGAAAGCGUGGGGAGCAAACAGGAUUAGAUACCCUGGUAGUCCACGCUGUAAACGAUGUCGAUUUGGAGGUUGUGCCCUUGAGGCGUGGCUUCCGGAGCUAACGCGUUAAAUCGACCGCCUGGGGAGUACGGCCGCAAGGUUAAAACUCAAAUGAAUUGACGGGGGCCCGCACAAGCGGUGGAGCAUGUGGUUUAAUUCGAUGCAACGCGAAGAACCUUACCUGGUCUUGACAUCCACAGAACUUUCCAGAGAUGGAUUGGUGCCUUCGGGAACUGUGAGACAGGUGCUGCAUGGCUGUCGUCAGCUCGUGUUGUGAAAUGUUGGGUUAAGUCCCGCAACGAGCGCAACCCUUAUCCUUUGUUGCCAGCGGUUAGGCCGGGAACUCAAAGGAGACUGCCAGUGAUAAACUGGAGGAAGGUGGGGAUGACGUCAAGUCAUCAUGGCCCUUACGACCAGGGCUACACACGUGCUACAAUGGCAUAUACAAAGAGAAGCGACCUCGCGAGAGCAAGCGGACCUCAUAAAGUAUGUCGUAGUCCGGAUUGGAGUCUGCAACUCGACUCCAUGAAGUCGGAAUCGCUAGUAAUCGUAGAUCAGAAUGCUACGGUGAAUACGUUCCCGGGCCUUGUACACACCGCCCGUCACACCAUGGGAGUGGGUUGCAAAAGAAGUAGGUAGCUUAACCUUCGGGAGGGCGCU